CUGAACUAUACUCCGAAAACGAAAGUCUUUGGUUUUAAUCAAUAACAACUUUCAGCAGUGGAUGUCUAGGCUCGCACAUCGAUGAAGAACGCUGCGAACUGCGAUACGUAAUGCGAAUUGCAGAAUUCAGUGAGUCAUCGAAAUUUUGAACGCACAUUGCACUUUCGGGUUAUGCCUGGAAGUAUGCCUGUAUCAGUGUCCGUACAUCAAACUUGCCUUUCUUUUUUUGUGUAGUCAAGAAGAGAGAUGGCAGACUGUGAGGUGUCUCGCUGACUCCCUCUUCGGAGGAGAAGACGCGAGUCCCUUUAAAUGUACGUUCGCUCUUUCUUGUGUUUAAGAUGAAGUGUGACUUUCGAACGCAGUGAUCUGUUUGGAUCGCUUUGCUCGAGUGGGCGACUUCGGUUAGGACAUUAAAGGAAGCAACCUCUAUUGGCGGUAUGUUAGGCUUCGGCCCGACUUUGCAGCUGACUGGAGUUGUUUUCUGUUCUUUCCUUGAGGUGUACCUGUCUUGUGUGAGGCAAUGGUCUGGGCAAAUGGUUAUUGUGUAGUAGGAAGUUGCUGCUCUUAAGCGCUCUAGCUUCGGUUAGAGUAAAGGAGGCAACACCAAUUUGGGAUAGUCGUUGAUUUAUCAAUGGCGCUCU
rnacentral:rRNA from 1 species